AGCUCGUCGGGGUCGACGGCCCGGCUGGUGAGCAGAUAGUCGCGCAUCACGAUGCCGUGCCGGCCCUC
rnacentral:sRNA from 1 species